GGAGUAAGCGUAGGUAGUUGCAAAUUUAGUUAAAUUUGAGGAAAGUCCGGGCUCCAUAUAGGUAAAUAUAGCUGGAUAAAGCCCAGUGUAGGUAACUACGAGGAGAGUGCCACAGAAAAAAACCGCUUUAUAAUUGAUAAAAGUAAGGGUGCAAAGGUGUGGUAAAAGCACACCAGAAAUAUUUUCAAAGUAUUUGCUUGGUAAACCCCAAUAAGGAGCAAAGUUAUGUUUAUAAGUGUCUAUUGUGAUUUAUAUAAAAGUGUACUGCAAAAGUUUUAACUAAUUAAACUUUAGAUAAAUAACUACCCUUAAUUAAAAGCUUUAUUUAAGAACAGAACCCGGCUUAUGUCUUACUCUAGA
rnacentral:RNase_P_RNA from 1 species